rnacentral:misc_RNA from 1 species
AUAAUGACAAAUACUAGGAUAAGCUACAAUUCAUCACCACAAUUAAAAAUACCCUUUUGAGUGGGUUGUAGAUAACUUUUGGUCUGGUUGUAGAUAGUUGCACGUUAACAGGCAAGGGAUUUUUGGGGCAGCGUGGUUGGAUUUAUGCUAUAGCCUAUUGGUUUUCUCUGUUUCCUUGUGCUUGUAUUGUGUUUUUUUCUAUAGGUUCUACUGUGGCUGAGUGUCUCUUCAUCGAUGGUCCAAGAUCGUUGCUUUCACUCUUCUUCGGCCAUAAUGUUGUCUAGGAGAUGAUAGAGCCCCCAUGGGUCAUCUGUUGCUAUGGCGUGAAGGUGAACAGGAUGGUGAAAGUUUCUUGCGAGGUCGACACCAGCAGUAAUGGCUGGUUUGAAAGGUGCGAUUGGGAUGCCAAAAAGAGCGCCUUCAAUUCCCCCUUCGUUGACCGUAAUGGCUUACAUUUUCUCUAACCCAAUGGUUCUUGGUUCCUUGACUCUCAGUUAUCUUCCCCCAACAAACGGUGUAUGUCCUUGCGGCUAUGGUGUUUAACUUGGGUUUAAUUUUUAAACUUAUUGUAUGGGUCUAUCUGACGGAAUUUUUAAUAUAUUUUAUAGGACUUGAACCUUUGUUCUCAACCUAUGUACUCACUUUGCCUUGUUUAAGCCCACUAAUGAAACAUUUAUCUUAGAAAAAA